AAAUACAACUUUGUGACCGAUUCGGAUGUAAUAUACUCUGAAUGCGCAUGGUACACUUUUUUUUAAUCUGUAUCAAAAUAAAUAUAACCUUUUUAUAAUUAAAAAUAACUUAACUUUAAAAUUUUCCUUCUACCCUUUUAGUCACACAAAUAUCUAAGUAUGUUUUACAUCAUAAAUUUCAAAAAUCUGCUUCUCUUUCUUAAAUUUGGUAUCUACUUGAAUUGGCACGAGUAGCUUUUAACAUGUCUGUUUUUUUCCAUAAAAUUGAAAAUGAGGGUUUUUUAGUCAUUUCAAAGUAUUUUAGCUUUCCGGUUUUAAACUGUCUUCCAAAUCCAGUGGUCACCACAUUGACUCUCAAACUUAAUGGGGGUUGAUUGCUUGUUCUUUCUGUUCUGUUAGAUAAUUACAUCAUCUGUAUUUCAAGAAGGCGAAGUUAAGUUCAUGCUUUCUUGGUUAAGUAUGUAAUUUCAGGGGUUUGUAUAAUUUUACAGGUUUUUUCUUCGCUCUCUAAUUUUGUGUUGUUGCUGGCAUUUAUUUUGUCAUAGCAGCUAUAGGGGUAAUUGAUCCUUCACAUAUGCUUGAGCAAAUGGAGGCAUGUAUUUACAAGGUUAAAGUGGGAGCUUUUAGUUGGAGAUGCAUUCUUGAAAAAGUGGAGAAGUGAUUGGCUGCAUGCGACGAGAAAUAUUGCCAAGAGUACAGUAGGUUUGACAUUAUAUCAUGUUCUUAAUGCGUUCAUGUAUGCUUUGCACCAUACUUUUUUUUUUUUUGUUUCUAAAUGUGUUUCACUUUUGCUCUUUAGAUUUUAUUUGUUAAAUGGAACAGUAAACUCUUAUUGUCCUUUGCUUAGGUUUUGGAUAUUAUUAGUGCCUCUCCAGUUAGUUCCCGUCAAUGUACUAGGCAGAAUGUCUGAUAUAUCUCAUUGCACAUAUGUAGCCUACCUCUAUUAGCUUGUCAAAUUCCUCUUUGUAUCCGAGGGGUGGAAGGACAGAUGCCUUUGGUGUCCUCUCCCAUCAAGAAUAGGGGUAUCGCAAUCACUAGUCAAUAUGUCUUUCUCUCAUGUCUUUUUCGUUCAUGGUUCAAUAUUUAUUCUUGUAACACAUAAUCUUUUAUAUCAUCAAGCCUCAUUUUUUUGUAAUAUGAUAGGAAUUAAUAAUAGCGUCAGAACUCUAUACUAUAA